rnacentral:rRNA from 1 species
GACGAACGCUGGCGGCGUGCUUAACACAUGCAAGUCGAACGGUGAAGCGCCUUCCGUUUUGGUGGGUGUGGAUGAGUGGCGAACGGGUGAGUAACACGUGAGUAACCUGCCCCCUUCUUCUGGAUAACCGCAUGAAAGUGUGGCUAAUACGGGAUAUUCUGUGUCUGUGGCAUGAUGGGUCUGGGAAAGAUAUUGUUUCGGUGGGGGAUGGGCUCGCGGCCUAUCAGCUUGGUGGUGGGGUGAUGGCCUACCAAGGCGGUGAGGAGUAGCUGGCAUGAGAGGGUGGACGGUCACACUGGGGAUGCGACACGGCCAAGACUCCGACGGGAGGCAGCAGUGGGGAAUAUUGCACAAUGGGAGGAAGCCUGAUGCAGCGCCGCCGCGGGAGGGAUGGAGGCCUGCGGGUUGUGACCCUCUUUCGCCAGUGAAGCAGGCCUGCCUAGUUUGUGGGUGGGUUGACGGUAGCUGGAGAAGAAGCGCCGGCUAACUACGUG